UACGUAGGGUGCAAGCGUUAAUCGGAAUUACUGGGCGUAAAGCGUGCGCAGGCGGUUGUGCAGGACAGAGGUGAAAUCCCCGGGCUUAACCUGGGAACGGCCUUUGUGACUGCAUGGCUAGAGUGUGUCAGAGGGGGGUAGAAUUCCACGUGUAGCAGUGAAAUGCGUAGAUAUGUGGAGGAAUACCGAUGGCGAAGGCAGCCCCCUGGGAUAACACUGACGCUCAUGCACGAAAGCGUGGGGAGCAAACAGG
rnacentral:rRNA from 1 species